UAGAGAUGCGCUAGAAACAGAGCCCACGAUCCCUCUCAUCUCUCCCAAAUCGACGCCACCUACCGCCUCCUCUCCCUCCUUGGAUCCACCUCAUCGCCGGCCCUCGCCCACCCCUUCUCCCACCUCGCACCUCCAGCGGCUGUCGGAUCCGCCCGCAUCCCCCACCCAUCCAUCCCUCUCACGGCCCAUCCCAGUCUCUCUCUCUUAGUGCGGCCUCUCGCUGCGCCAUCUACAGCGGAAGUUUCAGUCGACGUCUGGCCAAUCCUGCCACCACGAAGCACAACCCGAUGCUCCUCUCACACUGCAGCGCCCUCCCAUUGGACUAGAUCCGGCGCUCACGGCCACCAAAGAUCAGCGGCGACCUUCCCCAUGGCUAGGGUUGCCGGUGUCUGCUCCGACGCCGGUGGUCAUGCCGCCCUCCUCUCGUCCGACCUGUAGGGAGGAAUGGCCAUUGUACAACCUUGGUGCUGCUUGGGACGAAGCAGCCAUGGAGAUUCCUCCUCCUCAUCUGGCUUCAGAUUCAAAAGAUAUAUGGAUGAUUAUAUGGGUGCGUUGCAAGUAUACUUCAAUGAUGAUGAUGAUGUUCUGGUCCAUGACGAUGACGAUAGAUGCCUUCAGUAUUAGUUAACUUGUGGGGAUGUUGUUCCUGUUGGAUGAUUUUCUUCAGCUAACUUUUAGUUAAGUUGUAGGAGUGUUGACGGAUGGUUUAAGUUUAAUCUUCGUUGUAAAGAUUUUUUUAUUAUGCAUCACAUUUGGAUGAUGUUCUGCCUGUAAUAUCAACUAUUGUAAUCCAACAGUUUUAUUCAAUAUAUGGGUUCCUCCUCUCA